rnacentral:lncRNA from 1 species
GCGGGGGGCCCGAGACCCUCCGUGACGUCGGGCCCGGGGACCCCUGCGGGUUUCCCUCGCCCAGGCUCGAGGGGGCUCUGGGGCUGCCCCCUUCCCCCCUGUCCAGUCACAGACAGCUCCAUGCAUCCCCCCCUGAUCUGGAAAGCUCCCCCAGAGCUCUGGCAUCCUUCAAGUAAACCCAGCCUGCCAGAGAGAAUUGGGGAGGGGGUGUUAUAGAUUCCCAUCAUGUCCGUACCCCAAACCCUCCUAAAGGCCUCAUCAUUUCAUCACCUCUCCUAAUUGGUUCAUCACGUCCCUCUUCAGUUCGUCCUCCACACGACUGGCAAAAUGAUUUAGCGUCUCAAGGCGACUCUCCUCAGCUCAAUAAACUCCUUAGCUCCCCUUCACUACCUAGCUGCCCUCAUACCGAACUGGCACACAAAAGGCUUUUAAUAAAAGCUUACUGAUUGAUU